CGAACGGGUGAGUAACACGUGGGCAACCUGCCCAAAAGAGGGGGAUAACACUUGGAAACAGGUGCUAAUACCGCAUAACCAUAGUUACCGCAUGGUAGCUAUGUAAAAGGUGGCUAUGCUACCGCUUUUGGAUGGGCCCGCAGCGCAUUAGCUAGUUGGUGGGGUAAAGGCUUACCAAGGCAAUGAUGCGUAGCCGAACUGAGAGGUUGAUCGGCCACAUUGGGACUGAGACACGGCCCAAACUCCUACGGGAGGCAGCAG
rnacentral:rRNA from 1 species